GUCAUAUACUGCCUCCCAUUUGCAAAGAAAUCUGAGCCCCGAAUCACUUCCUACGUACAUCCUAAACUACCAAAAUAAAAGACUUCCUCAUAGAGAUGAACGUUAUUGGUUGUGGUACUCAAAGCAAUGCAUCCUUUCAGAAACCAGAAACUUUUUCAUAGGGACUGCUUUCUUCUGAAUAAAUAGUACCAAUGAACACAGUCAAACCUGUAAAACCUUUAAUAAUUUGAAAAAAGGUUGAAUUAAAUUAAAAUGAUCUGCCUAGCUAGGAGCAGGAGGGAUAAAUCAUUUUUCUUGUAAUUUUUGGUGAACUAACCCUGAAAAUAUCCCAACAUAUCAGAAUUAAAAAUUAAGGUGCUUUACAUCCAAAUGCAGGAAUGCAUUGGGGGAUUUAAUGAGCAAAUCUGAUGUAUUCCUACAGAGACUUCAAUCUGCAGAGCAGUUUGUGUAAAUAGCUGUAUAAUAUCUGUCUUUAUAGCCUGCUAAAUCUGUGCUACCAUUUGUGCUGUUAAGGCUGAACUGUGUAUGUGUGUUUGUAUCUGUAAACAGUAUUUCACUUAUUCAUUAACCAGGUAUCUCUUUGUUCUUUGUGACUGAGCAACAAAACGACACUUGAUUAUGAAAAAUUAAACCUUUUCAGAAUGAAAAA